AAAAACUUAGGAUAAUACAAACCAAAAGCCUUCAAAGCUUUAAAUAAGGGUGAUAAUCCCCUUAGUUUUU
rnacentral:tRNA from 1 species